AGCGAACGCUGGCGGCAGGCCUAACACAUGCAAGUCGAACGAACUCUUCGGAGUUAGUGGCGGACGGGUGAGUAACACGUGGGAACGUGCCUUUAGGUUCGGAAUAACUCAGGGAAACUUGUGCUAAUACCGAAUGUGCCCUUCGGGGGAAAGAUUUAUCGCCUUUAGAGCGGCCCGCGUCUGAUUAGCUAGUUGGUAGUGUAAUGGACUACCAAGGCUACGAUCAGUAGCUGGUCUGAGAGGAUGAUCAGCCACAUUGGGACUGAGACACGGCCCAACCUCCUACGGGAGGCAGCAGUGGGGAAUCUUGCGCAAUGGGCGAAAGCCUGACGCAGCCAUGCCGCGUGAAUGAUGAAGGUCUUAGGAUUGUAAAAUUCUUUCACCGGGGGCGAUAAUGACGGUACCCGGAGAAGAAGCCCCGGCUAACUUCGUGCCAGCAGCCGCGGUAACAC
rnacentral:rRNA from 1 species